GGGUUAAGUCCCGCAACGAGCGCAACCCUUAUCCUUUGUUACCAGCGGUCCGGCCGGGAACUCAAAGGAGACUGCCAGUGAUAAACUGGAGGAAGGUGGGGAUGACGUCAAGUCAUCAUGGCCCUUACGACCAGGGCUACACACGUGCUACAAUGGCGCAUACAAAGAGAAGCGACCUCGCGAGAGCAAGCGGACCUCAUAAAGUGCGUCGUAGUCCGGAUUGGAGUCUGCAACUCGACUCCAUGAAGUCGGAAUCGCUAGUAAUCGUGGAUCAGAAUGCCACGGUGAAUACGUUCCCGGGCCUUGUACACACCGCCCGUCACACCAUGGGAGUGGGUUGCAAAAGAAGUAGGUAGCUUAA
rnacentral:rRNA from 1 species